GCAUUCAGCGACGGGAGAGGCAGCGGGCAGAUGUACUCUCUCCUGGAUUCUGUUCUUGCAGACUACUUAUAUUUUCCACUGGAGGUAAAUCUGGAAUUAUGAAUGCUUCUUUUCUUAGCACCUCCAGCCAAGAGCAAGGAGAAGAAGAAGAUGGUGCUGCAUCCUCCGGUUAUUAUCCUCCAGUGAUUCUCAAGGAGCCACACCAAAACUCUGGAAGAGGUUAGCAGUAGAACUUCUCAUCGAUUAAUGGGAGGCAACUCAAUAUACCUGACUAUAAACCAUGGAGGCACUCUUCUCGUAGCCCAGAAAAAAUUCCAGAGAAGUGAAGAACCAAUCUGGAACGACAACCAGCUCCAGCAUCUGAGUCAUCUCCUCUGGUUCCUCAGACGAUGAGCUGCUCAAGGUCUUGUUGCUCAUUCUCGUCAGUGAGGGUGUGAAGAGUCUUAAUAUUUCUGUGGAAGGUCUAAGUCAAGCUACUAUACUAUGUAGCACUAACUCUGUGACGAAGAGCGUGUCUAUGAAACUAAG